rnacentral:rRNA from 1 species
GGUCCUGCCUGCCCUGUGACCCCUGGUUCAACGGCCGCGGUAUUUUGACCGUGCAAAGGUAGCGCAAUCACUUGUCUCUUAAAUGAGGACCUGUAUGAAUGGCACGACGAGGGCUUAACUGUCUCCUUUCCCCGGUCAGUGAAAUUGAUCUUCCCGUGCAGAAGCGGGAAUCCUAACAUAAGACGAGAAGACCCUAUGGAGCUUUAGACUUCAGAACAGAUCAUGUAAGCUACCCCCGUGAAAUAGGUAAUAACUAUUGAAUUUCUGUUCCCCUGUCUUUGGUUGGGGCGACCACGGGGAAGAAAAAAACCCCCAUGUGGACCAGGAGCACAUUACUCCUACAACCAUGAGCCACAGCUCUAAUGCACAAAAUUUUUGACCAUUAGAUCCGGCAAAGCCGAUCAACGGACCAAGUUACCCUAGGGAUAACAGCGCAAUCCCCUUUAAGAGUCCAUAUCGACAAGGGGGUUUACGACCUCGAUGUUGGAUCAAGACAUCCUAAUGGUGCAGCCGCUAUUAAGGGUUCGUUUGUUCAACGAUUAAAGUCUU